rnacentral:rRNA from 1 species
AUUGAACGCUGGCGGCAGGCUUAACACAUGCAAGUCGAGCGAGCGGCGGACGGGUGAGUAAUGUCUGGGAAACUGCCUGAUGGAGGGGGAUCACUACUGGAAACGGUAGCUAAUACCGCAUACCAUCAGAUGUGCCCAGAUGGGCUUAGCUAGUUGGUGGGGUAAUGGCUCCACUAGGCGACGAUCCCUAGCUGGUCUGGAAGGAGGACCAGCCACAGUGGAACUGAGACACGGUCCAGACGCCUACGGGAGGCAGCAGUGGGUAAAAUUGCAAAAUGGGCGCAAGCCUGAUGCGACCAUGCCGCGUGUGUGAAGAAGGCCUUCGGGGUGUAAAGCACUUUCAGCGAGGAGGAGUUACUCGCAGAAGAAGCACCGGCUAACUCCGUGCCAGCAGCCGCGGUAAUAC